GUGGAGGUGUGUCUGGUCAGGGUGAAGGUAUGGGUGGAGGUAUGGGUGGAGGUGUGUCUGGUCAGGGUGAAGGUAUGGGUGGAGGUAUGGGUGGAGGUGUGUCUGGUCAGGGUGAAGGUAUGGGUGAAGGUAUGGGUGGAGGUGUGUCUGGUCAGGGUGAAGGUAUGGGUGGAGGUAUGGGUGGAGGUGUGUCUGGUCAGGGUGAAGGUAUGGGUGGGGGUAUGGGUGGAGGUGUGUCUGGUCAGGGUGAAGGUAUGGGUGGAGGUAUGGGUGGAGGUGUGUCUGGUCAGGGUGAAGGUAUGGGUGGAGGUAUGGGUGGAGGUGUGUCUGGUCAGGGUGGAG
rnacentral:lncRNA from 1 species